GUGGGGAAUAUUGGACAAUGGGGGGAACCCUGAUCCAGCCAUGCCGCGUGUGUGAAGAAGGCCUUUUGGUUGUAAAGCACUUUAAGCGAGGAGGAGGCUACCGAGAUUAAUACUCUUGGAUAGUGGACGUUACUCGCAGAAUAAGCACCGGCUAACUCUGUGCCAGCAGCCGCGGUAAUACAGAGGUUGCAAGCGUUAAUCGGAUUUACUGGGCGUAAAGCGCGCGUAGGUGGCCAAUUAAGUCAAAUGUGAAAUCCCCGAGCUUAACUUGGGAAUUGCAUUCGAUACUGGUUGGCUAGAGUAUGGGAGAGGAUGGUAGAAUUCCAGGUGUAGCGGUGAAAUGCGUAGAGAUCUGGAGGAAUACCGAUGGCGAAGGCAGCCAUCUGGCCUAAUACUGACACUGAGGUGCGAAAGCAUGGGGAGCAAACAGGAUUAGAAACCCUAGUAGUCC
rnacentral:rRNA from 1 species